rnacentral:rRNA from 1 species
AGUGAACGCUGGCGGUAGGCCUAACACAUGCAAGUCGAACGGCAGCACAGUAAGAGCUUGCUCUUACGGGUGGCGAGUGGCGGACGGGUGAGGAAUACAUCGGAAUCUACUUUUUCGUGGGGGAUAACGUAGGGAAACUUACGCUAAUACCGCAUACGACCUACGGGUGAAGGCAGGGGAUCUUCGGACCUUGCGCGAUUGAAUGAGCCGAUGCCGGAUUAGCUAGUUGGCGGGGUAAAGGCCCACCAAGGCGACGAUCCGUAGCUGGUCUGAGAGGAUGAUCAGCCACACUGGAACUGAGACACGGUCCAGACUCCUACGGGAGGCAGCAGUGGGGAAUAUUGGACAAUGGGCGCAAGCCUGAUCCAGCCAUACCGCGUGGGUGAAGAAGGCCUUCGGGUUGUAAAGCCCUUUUGUUGGGAAAGAAAAGCAGCAGGUUAAUACCCCGCUGUUCUGACGGUACCCAAAGAAUAAGCACCGGCUAACUUCGUG